rnacentral:piRNA from 1 species
AAAUGCUGAAGGAGCAGAAGUGUGUCUU